rnacentral:rRNA from 1 species
AUGGACGUCUUCUCCGGCACUCCCGUGACUCCUCUCCCCGAGCUAGCUGCUCUCCUGGCUGCUUGCAACGUGAAUGCCCGAUACGAGCUCCUGCAGCCCAUUACCAGGGUCGUGGUGUCCCCGGCGGCCUCGACGGAGCUGGAAUACCGCCUGGUCGCCGUCAUGAUCCGCACUGGCAAAUUCCUUCUCUCCACCUGCCGGCCGGCCGGCGAGCCCAACACGUGCGUAGCGCUGGACCACUACUUCGAUUUCUCCAUCGCAGACAUCAGAUUCUUUCAAGGGAAGAUCUACGCCCUGUCCAAGAUCAACGAGACGCUCCGCGCCCUCGAUCUCAACAAUGGCUACCUCGACGAGCUACCGCCAUCACCAUCUUGCAUCGACGUCAUAUGCGGAGUGAGGUCCGAGUUCGCCAUGACAGAGGAGCCUCAUCUGCAAAAGGAUCCAUGGCCGUACGGCCACGUCGUUGCGGGGCGGUAUCUAGUCGAAUGUAAUGGCAAGCUGCUCAUGGUCAGGCGGUGGGCCCGCAAACCUUUGAUUAGCCUUAGUUACUAUUCAAUGACCGAAUUUCGAGACAAGGAUGGGUACGAUCUUGAACGGACUCGCCGGUGGAAGAAGGUCCAAGGCUUGGAUGGUUGGGCGAUGUUCGUGUCGUCGCGAUGCUCCAAGGCCGCAACUGCAGCAAGCCAUGGAGCUCGAGAGGACUGCGUUUACUUCGCGCACCAGUGGGGUCGGAGAGACCCGGACAAUCCCAUCGGCGGCUCCGGGGUGUACAACAUGAGAGACAGGGUGAUCACGCGGCCGCUGCUGCCAGAGCCUGCGGCGGUGGGUGGGUCGAUGCCGUGGAGCCGGCGGUUUCCCGCAUGGGUAUUCCCUAUUGAAGUUUAA